GUUCAGACCGGAGUAAUCCAGGUCAGUUUCUAUCUAUAAGAAGUUCUUUCUAGUACGAAAGGACCGAAAAAACACGGCCUAUACUUAAGCAAGCCGUUCGAACAACUUAUGCUUUCAACUUAAUAAACAGCUGAUUCCCAACCCACCUCAACAAAAGAGGA
rnacentral:rRNA from 1 species